ACACUCUCUGCCAGUUGUCUAAAAUGAAGUACUUGAUGUCUCUGCAACAUCCACUAAUUGGGUUGUCAUCCGGUGAAGGCUUAAGUUUCUGGCUGAGCAUUUUGCUCAGGUUUCUGCUCUCUCCUACUCUUACAGAUUGGCUUGGUCCUUGUAAUAGAAGCAUUUCCAGGUUCUCUAUCAUGAUAUAUCCAUGAUUUUCUGGAUCCAGCUCUUCCAUGAUCAAGGCUGCAUACUCCUCUGCUUGUGUUAGGAUAUUUGAGAGUUUAUUGGCAGAAGCGCUAAGGGUAAUAAUCUCUCU
rnacentral:misc_RNA from 1 species